rnacentral:misc_RNA from 1 species
CACUGAGACCAGCGCGGCUCGGAGUCCUGCUCGAAGAGCGGCACGAUGAUGUAGAAGCCGCGCACGAGCUUCAACGAAUCGCGUUCGCUGAGCAGCGACAGCGUCACCGGCAGCGCUUGCGAGUCCAUCGUUCCGCCGACGGCGUGACGACGUGACGCUGGCAUUCCUGCCGGUACGGAGCCGCUCUCAAUGCCGACGCUGAAACGAAUGCUCUGCACUUCGUCGACGGGCACAUUGAAGCUGACCGAAUUGCCCUGGCAGCCGGUCGUCCGGCUGGAGCCCCAGGCACGGAACGGCGCGUCGCGCCGCUCGGAGCCGUCGAGAUACGAAUAGUGCGUGAGCAGUUCGACCGCCCGGCGCUGACCCGGAUCCACCGACGCCCCACUGGCGCCGGAAACCGUGACACGCGCACCGCGGCUGAUGAACCCACCGUCUCCCGCAGGAACGUCAGAAGCGGCGUUGAGCGCGGCGUUCUCAUCGGGCAAUGCGAAGCCAACGGCGAGGCGCUUCGGCUGCGAAGCGGCAGUGCCGGCGAAUAAAUCCGGACCGACUACAGCGGUUGCAAGCGCGCACGUCGAUGAGGCGAUCAGAAACUGCCGCCUCCCGACCUUGUGCUGACUGAUACUACUCAUGCGGUUCUCCUUGGCCAAUCUCGUAUCUCUCGAUCCGCAUCCUACUACCGGGUCAUCACAACAGUUGGAUUACUACGUGCGAGGUGGAAACACUCCCUGGAGUGCGAUGCAGAAGUAAAACGUCAGGUACGGCUGCAGGUUGUUGUGGGGCUGAUCGCCGCCGGCGGGAGCGAGGGCCUCAGGCGCAAACGACACCAGAUUCGCAGCGGUGCCCCACGCAUUGCCGUUGUUCGAGCGGGCAUAAGAGAACCCUGCUGGGCUGAACUGAUCGGCAGGAUCCUGCGUAUAGACACGCAGAGUGUGAGAGUGCGCGGGUAUCUCACUCUCGAGCAAUGUCACGGUCUCGCUGCCGCCGGUCUCGCCGAGGUCAUGCAGCGAAAGGCCGGGGCCCUGCCCCGGAUGCAUCGGCGCCCGGCCCUGCAGGUCGGGAAGCGCGAAGUUGGAUUUGCCGUCGCCGCCGUAGGUCGUCCCCAGCAGCGAGAAUAGCGCGGUGUUCUGGGAAAGGGGCAUCAACUGCCCAUCGCACCAGGCCCAUCCUCUGGGCGCGAAGUUGAACGGGAAGAUUCGGAUCUCAGCAACAAAUGGAUCUGCCAUUUUCAAUCUCCUCUUUCAUCGUCACAGUCGUUCGAGCACAUCCAUCCGUCUCAAGUCGGAGACGGGAAAAUGCCGAACAGGGAGAUGAUGAAAUCCACACAGAGGUACGGCUGGAAGUUGGUAUGAGGCUGGCUGCCGCCGGUCGAGGAAACCGCCUGCGGUGCGCCGUUCCCAUCGGGAACGUCGCCGUAAUACAACUGCGACAGGAGUCCAGUCCCCGGCAGGGCACCAUCCGGGUUGGGUCUGAUGGCGGGAUUGGUCGAGGCAAUCAUCGGAUGGCUGUGGGCCGCGAUCUGGUUGACCGUGAGCGUGAUCUCCUCGGCGCCUCCGGUCUCCGCGAGGAUGAAGCCGCCGCCCUGAUGGAUGGGAAUGCGGCCGCGGAGGUCCGGCAGCGCGAAGGUCGACUCACCGUCGCCGCCGUACGUCGUACCGAGCAACUGGAACAGCGUCUCGUUUUCACUAAUGGGAAGUAGUUGUCCUUCGCAGAACAUCCACCCCGCGGGCG